AGGGCGUUGAAGCGCAGUCCGGUUUGAGGCCGUGCUUCGAUAUUUCCAAGGAGGAGUCAGUGAAGUUUCCGGAACUGGUCUUGAAGUUUAAAGGCGGAGCGAAGCUGAGUCUGCCACCGGUGAAUUACUUGGCUUUGGUGACGGAUGCGGGCGUGGUGUGCUUGACGAUGAUGACGGAUGUAGCCGUCGUAGGCGGCGGCGGGGGGCCGGCGAUUAUAUUCGGGGCGUUUCAGCAGCAGAAUGUUUUGGUGGAGUAUGAUUUGGCGAGGGACAGAAUCGGAUUUCGGAAG
rnacentral:misc_RNA from 1 species